AUGUAUGGAAGCUUUCAAAUCAACAGGGGGUUGCUGUCAAAAAAAGUGAUUUUUUUAAAUCAAAUGGAUUUCUCCCCAAUACAGUACAAUGUUGUACAUGUUCUACUUCGUAACUUAGAUGUUAAUUUACAUGGUGUUAUUGUCCACUCCUCGUGUUUGUAGAUGUUGGCAGCCUGACAGUUUUCUGUAGCCAGAUGUUUUCUGUAGCCAGAUGUUCUAACUAGGUAUGUGCCUGGCUUUGGUUACAAACCAUUUUCUAUAAUAAUAAUAAUAAUAAUAAUAAUAAUAAUAAUAAUAAUAAUAAUAAUAAUAAUAUAUGCCAUUUAGCAGACGCUUUUAUCCAACGCGACUUACAGUCAUGUGUGCAUACAUUCUACGUAUGGGUGGUCCCGGGAAUCGAACCCACUACCCUGGCGUUACAAGCGCCAUGCUCUACCAACUGAGCUACAGAAGGAUGUAUAAUAAAUACAUUUAAAAGUAUGAAUGAACUGUACAUGGGGGAAAAUUUAACAAAAAGGUAAACCAUUUUUUAUUUUAUUUUUUGUAUGUACAUGGGUGGAUUUAUCUUAGCACUGCUCCGAUGACAGCUGAAUGUCAACAAUGGGGUCCGACAGGGUUCCGUUUCUGUCUAGGAGGUGUGUGUUUGGGUGGGAGGGUCCUCGUUGCCGUUGUACAGAACAACAGAGGAGCUCUUUCCCCAUUUGGUUAGGCCUAGAGGUCGCUAUAAUAGAAUCGAUGCAGUCUUUGAGCUCCGGCUUCCUCCUGCCAGGUGUGUCUGUACUAUAAUAGAAUCGAUGCGGUCUUUGAGCUCCGGCUUCCUCCUGCCAGGUGUGUCUGUACUAUAAUAGAAUCGAUGCGGUCUUUGAGCUCUGGCUUCCUCCUGCCAGGUGUGUCUGUACUAUAAUAGAAUCGAUGCGGUCUUUGAGCUCCGGCUUCCUCCUGCCAGGUGUCUGUACUAUAAUAGAAUCGAUGCGGUCUUUGAGCUCCGGCUUCCUCCUGCCAGGUGUGUCUGUACUAUAAUAGAAUCGAUGCGGUCUUUGAGCUCCGGCUUCCUCCUGCCAGGUGUGUCUGUACUAUAAUAGAAUCGAUGCGGUCUUUGAGCUCCGGCUUCCUCCUGCCAGGUGUCUGUACUAUAAUAGAAUCGAUGCGGUCUUUGAGCUCCGGCUUCCUCCUGCCAGGUGUCUGUACUAUAAUAGAAUCGAUGCGGUCUUUGAGCUCCGGCUUCCUCCUGCCAGGUGUCUGUACUAUAAUAGAAUCGAUGCGGUCUUUGAGCUCCGGCUUCCUCCUGCCAGGUGUGUCUGUACUAUAAUAGAAUCGAUGCAGUCUUUGAGCUCCGGCUUCCUCCUGCCAGGUGUGUCUGUACUAUAAUAGAAUCGAUGCAGUCUUUGAGCUCCGGCUUCCUCCUGCCAGGUGUGUCUGUACUAUAAUAGAAUCGAUGCAGUCUUUGAGCUCCGGCUUCCUCCUGCCAGGUGUGUCUGUACUAUAAUAGAAUCGAUGCAGUC